UACGUAGGGUCCGAGCGUUAAUCGGAAUUACUGGGCGUAAAGCGUGCGCAGGCGGUUUUUGUAAGCCAGAUGUGAAAGCCCCCGGGCUCAACCUGGGAAACUGGCAUUUGGGACCUGCAAGGCUGGGAGUACGGCAGAGGGAGGUGGGAAUCCACGUGUAGCAGUGAAAUGCGUAGAGAAUGUGGAGGAACACCGAUGGCGAAGGACAGCCUCUGG
rnacentral:rRNA from 1 species